UUCCGCUGGCUGGGGAAGCAGAGCAAGACCAGACCUGAAUUGGUUGAAGUUAUCUAGUUUAUGUUUUUCCCCCAUACCGAGCCCAGCCUGAUUAAUGAGGCAGGAGUGAUCACCUGAGUCGCCCUGAGGCGGCAACUCCAGGGGAGAUGUAGGGGAAGGUCCCCAGGAUUCUGGUGGAGUUGGCCUGAGGGAGAAAAGCUGGGGUUUGCAGGAGGAAGCCUGGCUUCUCCACCCGGAUCUUCCUCCAACUCUGUGCGUGACCUCGGGCAGAGUAUUUGAUGCCUGGGCCUUGUGCCUUCGGAGACUGCUUCUUCCCUGACCCCCCAUUUCUGUUUCUUGUUGGCUGACUGUGUCUGUACCCUUGUCAAAUGCUGGCUCCCUGAAAACGCCAUCAAAACAACCAGCGAUAAGAAAGAUGAUUUUUUUUUUCCUCCCAAGAGAUGGCACUUUACUGGAAAAGUCUCAGAAUGGAAGUGUGGAGAACAAAAUUGCGGUACUGAGGCCUGGGAGUCUGGUCCUUUGUUGCAAGUCCCAGUUAGGGUUAGGAUGGUGUUAGUUUAGUAUUAAACACCUCCAGUAGUUUAGAGUUGUUGGUCACUAGUUCUUUAAUAUUGGUGGUCAUAUUGAGGAAAGGACCUGGAAGAGUCUUGGAGCUUUGUUUGCUGUUGGAAAGUCGUAUGUUUAGGUGGAUUUUCCAAAACUUAGUAAGUAAGCUUAUUUGCAGUUUUUGUCUUCCUGGACAAGUGUUUCCUGGAAUGACAAAGUCAGACGAUACAGUCAUAUUAUUUUGCUUCAACCAGCGUGAGUUGGAGUUCUCUGUUAUUUGCAUCCAGAGGCAUCUGUUAUGGUUUCUCUUGUGUAAAAUGAGGAUCGUAUUGAAGGGAGAUGGGGAGGAGCUGGAUAUACAACGAGAGCAUGUUGUUUGCAGUCUUUUGGUACUACAGCAAAGUAGGGCUUACAAAAAGUUCUGAGUCCCCCAAACUACUCUCAAAUAGGAAAAGGAGCUGUCAAAUGGGAAUGACUAGGUGUUUAUUAAGUUUCUUACAAAUAGCUAUGUCUGGUAGUCAACUGCAACACAAAACAUACAAGAGCAUUGUGUUUUCUCCUAAACUGCGGAGAAUACAGGCAACUUUGUGUUGGUAAAACUAAAAACACUUCAGGCUUUUUGAGAUCUUUAAUAUGGCCCUAUGAAGUUUGAAUCCUGGCCUUCCUGCGCACCAAUCAUGUGAACUGGAGCCAACUCCUCCCUCUAUGAACUCAUGUCUUCAUAUGUACAGCAAGGAUUAUGAUGAAGUGAGGUGGUGUGUUGAAUACAGCAGUCAGCAGUUGUUUGAACAGAAGCCCAAGUGAUCCUGGAUGUAGUUUGAGCUCUGCAAACUGGAUCUGGGACAAGAAACCCUGCAAGAGACAUGUAUCCAUAGGAAGCAACUUUGAAAGGACUCAGAGGGUUAUCAGAUGGGAAGAAACAAGAGAAAUAAGAUGUUGAGACCACAUAAUUAGCAACUGAAAAAUUACUUCAUGUUGCCUCAAGGGCAAGAAAGUCUGAAGCUUCAAAUUCCACCAGAAUCUAAUUUGAGGAAGUAAUUAGAGAUGCUUUCAAAGAUUUUGGAAGAAGAUGGUUUCGUUGCUUUAUAUACAACAGUAAAAGGAAUGAAUGUCCAGUUUCAGAGUAAAUGGGUUUAAGUAUCACAUAUGAUACAUUAUGUGAUGAAAUAUUAUAUAAAUAUUAACAAUCAUGU